GACAGAGGAGCCGGGGGGAGGGGAACGAAGAAGUAAACUGAGUCGAGCUUUUCUAAAACAUUCCAGGCAGGUUGUAUUGUACAGGCAGGAUCAGAAGACAAGAGAGAAUUCCCCCCCAGGGUCUGAGCACUCUACCCAGGGUAUAACCGCUCUCUGACUCCCAGGCCCCUGGCUCUAACUCCCCUGGCUUCUGGAUCUCUCAGAGUCAAACUCCUUUGGAACUUUGGAACUACCUCCCCCACCCUUCACUGCCAUCAUUCCCCAGCACCCCCACCAUGCUCCAGCACCCCCAUCCUACACUGCCAGCACCCCCAUCCUACACUGCCAUCAUUCCCCAGCACACCCAUCAUUCCCAGCACCCCCACCAUACGCCCCAGCACCCCCACCAUACGCGCACACACGGUGCUAGUUAAAGAAGGGGCCAGGUCUAUGGAAUACACCCCCAGCAGAGAGAGAGUGACAAGAAGGGACCAGGGCUAUGGAAUAGACCCCCAGCAGAGAGAGAGUGACAAGAAGGGGCCAGGGCUAUGGAAUAGACCCCCGGCAGAGAGAGAGUGACAAGAAGGGGCCAGGACUAUGGAAUAGACCCCGGCAGAGAGAGUGACAAGAAGGGGCCAGGACUAUGGAAUAGACCCCCAGCAGAGGAAGACAAGGGGCCAGGGCUAUGGAAUAGACCCCCAGCAGAGGGAGACAAGAAGGGGCCAGGACUAUGGAAUAGACCCCCAGCAGAGAGAGAGUGACAAGAAGGGGCCAGGACUAUGGAAUAGACCCCAGCAGAGAGAGAGUGACAAGAAGGGGCCAGGACUAUGGAAUAGACCCCCAGCAGCAGAGAGAGUGACAAGAAGGGGCCAGGACUAUGGAAUAGACCCCCAGCAGAGGGAGACAAGAAGGGGCCAGGACUAUGGAAUAGACCCCCCCAGCAGAGGGAGUGACAAGAAGGGGCCAGGACUAUGGAAUAGACCCCCAGCAGAGGGAGACAAGAAGGGGCCAGGACUAUGGAAUAGACCCCCAGCAGAGGGAGACAAGAAGGGGCCAGGACUAUGGAAUAGACCCCCAGCAGAGGGAGACAAGAAGGGGCCAGGACUAUGGAAUAGACCCCCAGCAGAGAGAGAGUGACAAAAAGGGGCCAGGACUAUGGAAUAGACCCCCAGCAGAGAGAGAGUGACAAG
ensembl:lncRNA